CUACCGGGUAUAUCCUUUUCAGUACUCUCAUUAGCCGCGCGAGUCACUGUAGCUGAAGAGAUUCAAAUAUUUCAGAAACGGAAUUUAAGUUUCUUAAAUUCCACUUUCUAGAAGAAAAGGGGCCCGAUAGGCCCCUUUCC
rnacentral:sRNA from 1 species